rnacentral:rRNA from 1 species
CAUCCCCUACGGGGGGCAGCAGUGAGGAAUAUUGGUCAAUGGGAGAGAUCCUGAACCAGCCAAGCCGCGUGAGGGAAGACGGCCCUAUGGGUUGUAAACCUCUUUUGUCGGGGAGCAAAAGCCGGACGUGUCCGGCUGUGAGAGUACCCGAAGAAAAAGCAUCGGCUAACUCCGUGCCAGCAGCCGCGGUAAUACGGAGGAUGCGAGCGUUAUCCGGAUUUAUUGGGUUUAAAGGGUGCGCAGGCGGAUUUUUAAGUCAGCGGUCAAAUCGUGGGGCUCAACCCCAUCCAGCCGUUGAAACUGGG